rnacentral:rRNA from 1 species
UACGAAGGGGGGCUAGCGUUGCUCGGAAUCACUGGGCGUAAAGGGUGCGUAGGCGGGUCUUUAAGUCAGGGGUGAAAUCCUGGAGCUCAACUCCAGAACUGCCUUUGAUACUGAGGAUCUUGAGUUCGGGAGAGGUGAGUGGAACUGCGAGUGUAGAGGUGAAAUUCGUAGAUAUUCGCAAGAACACCAGUGGCGAAGGCGGCUCACUGGCCCGAUACUGACGCUGAGACGCGAAAGCGUGGGGAGCGAACAGG